AUUGAACGCUGGCGGCAUGCUUUACACAUGCAAGUCGAACGGUAACAGGUUAAGCUGACGAGUGGCGAACGGGUGAGUAAUGCAUCGGAACGUGCCCGGUCGUGGGGGAUAACGCAGCGAAAGCUGCGCUAAUACCGCAUACGAUCUGAGGAUGAAAGCGGGGGACCGUAAGGCCUCGCGCGAUCGGAGCGGCCGAUGUCAGAUUAGGUAGUUGGUGGGGUAAAGGCUCACCAAGCCGACGAUCUGUAGCUGGUCUGAGAGGACGACCAGCCACACUGGGACUGAGACACGGCCCAGACUCCUACGGGAGGCAGCAGUGGGGAAUUUUGGACAAUGGGCGCAAGCCUGAUCCAGCAAUGCCGCGUGCAGGAGGAAGGCCUUCGGGUUGUAAACUGCUUUUGUACGGAGCGAAAAGGCUCUCUCUAAUACAGGGGGUUCAUGACGGUACCGUAAGAAUAAGCACCGGCUAACUACGUGCCAGCAGCCGCCGUAA
rnacentral:rRNA from 1 species